GAUUUUUACAUACGGAAAAUCCGUAUAUAAAAUUCGUAUGUAAAGUUCGUGCGUACUGGUGGGAAAGUUAUCUAAGGAUUAAAUCCGUAUAUAAUUCUAAUUAUCCGUAUAUAACUAUUUCCACGUGUUAGCCACUGAUAUUACAUACGGAUUGAGAAAUUAAAUUAGGUCCUGAUUAGAAUGAGAAGCAAACCUCGAACCCUAUUCUUCUCAUAACGCUCGAGCUUUUCUCUCUUCCUCAAACCCUAUUCUUUCCGAAACCCUCGAGCUUUUAUGUCUCCCUCGACCCCAUUUGAUUUCUCUCUUGAACCCUUGCGAUUUCACAUCUCUUUCUCGAGCCCUCUUUGCUAUCGUUGUUCCUCUCUUAAGUCCCCUUCACUGUCGUUGUCCCUCUCUUGAGCCCUUGCUUCUUCCUCUCUCUCUCGAAUUGUC
rnacentral:lncRNA from 1 species